AAAACAAAAGAAACAGAAAAGAAAAUUGAAUAGAUGGACCAGCAAACAGACUGAAAUAUGAUUGACAUUACAUCGUUUUCCCCUAGAAGUCAAACUAUGAAGCACUUCAUAGUCCGUAAACCCCUCACUCCAGGGUCAGUGCUCCAACUAGCUCUCCCAUGGCAGUGGUGAUGCCUGUCAGCAUCCAGAGAGAACCAGGGCCCAGAGGCUCCUUUCUUCUCCACGUGCCACAAUGUGUUUUACCCACAUUGUGAGGGCCGCCUGCUCUACACUCUCAGGCAAGGCUUUGCAUACACUUUUGCAGUUGAACAGUGUCACGACUGCUUGCAGCCCAACCAAACGAACCUUUAAAGUUUUUGGUCUACCUAAAGCUCUCAAUCAAAAAGCAAGUUUCUUAUUGCUGACAGCAUUUAUUUUAUGUUUGGGGGCUCCUUGACUCAGUAACUACAGCAAUAUAACCUUUCAGAUAGGGUCACAGGAAUUGCUGAUUGCUUGUCAUGAAAAUGUUCCUUCCUCUGCCUGCCUGCAGGAAUCACCAGCCAUCAAGGUACCAUUUGGGCAGCUUGUUUAAUCCUAGCUUUUAUGGUUAAGCCUUUAAACAUUAGGUUAACUUCUGUUCAAUAGUAAGUAGGACAGAGGGAAGCCUUUCUCCCUCACCCCCCACCUGUCACCUGGGUGAGAGCAUUCACUACUAGGUAGAUUCUGGUGAGUAUUAGAUUCCCAAAUCUGGCCCAUGGUUCCUCUUCCAGAAAAAUCAUGUUUCUGUCAGCAUUCCAUCCCCAUAGCCAAAAUUGCCAGGUCUGGGAUUUGAUUUUACCUUAUCAGUAAGAACCAGUAAGUUGACCUGUCACAGUAUCAUGGCUGCUGACAGAAGACACAAGACUCCUGGGUCAGAGGUCAAGGAUUUUAUUUAGCAUUCUUAACACAGCCUGCAGAAUGAACAUUAGCAUGUUUGUUGCAGUUCCCAUUGUCCCUAGAUCCACACGGGCAAUGCACUGGGUCCAGAGAGAUGUCAAGCAUGCAAUUGAGAAACACAGGGUGAGGAAUCCACUUUUACAGCAGGCCUGCUCCCUGUCCUCAAGGUUACUAACUACAUACAUCCUGAGAAAUACCCAGGCAAAACUGUUGUCAGCCCUGUGGUCUUGGCCCACCCAGCAAAGUGUGUAGGUGCAGAAGAGGUGCAACAGAACUGGACAGUCUUGUCUGACAGCUUUUCCAAUAUUGUGUCCAAUAUUGUGUUUUGUUUGUUCUUUCGUGUAUUUCUCUUUCAUCCUCUCUGUAAGUGGACGCCCUGUGCAGGCUAGGCCCUUGGGCAAUAGCUGGCUACAAAAUGAUGUGUAGCCUAAUCAAGAAUGUUUUCAAAUUAUAGUUUCAAAAACUGAAGAAGGAUAAGUCCUUUAAAAGUGUGCCCACCACUCAGUAUGUCAGCCACCUGUCAGUCCUAAGUGGGACAGAGAGCUAAAGAAAACUUUUCUGGUCCAUCUCUUUUUAAGAAUUAGGACUACUGCCAGUUUCUAAAAUAAGGACAGUCUCACAUAAUAGUCUGGAAACGGCCACUUGCAUUUUUCUAGAAAGAAAUCUAUUCUGGUGAGAGGGUGAUGACUGACAAGGCAGUAAUAUACCGUUCCUAAGGAGAAGACCCAAUAAUUAUGCUGAUGGUCCAAGGCUGACAUAACUCAGCCCAAGUGUAGAGCAUGUGACAAUUUUUUUUCUUACAGAGUUUUUAUUUCAGCCUUAAAAAGAUUCCCAAAAUUUGUUAUUUAGAUUCCAAGAUUUUACUCCUCAGAGAUAUACUAACUGUAACUGUUUUAAAAUUACAAAGCGAACUUCAGUUAAGUCUCAGCUUUUAAUUCAUGACAGGUAAUAAGCAACAACAUUUGAGAACUAAAAGGAGAACAAAAAUGAGAUCGGUGGCUGCAAUAAACAACAUCUGAAGAAUCAUUCAGUAGAUGGACAUUAGUGAUUAAGCUUCAGAGUCACACGAUGAAAAACAUAAAUACAUGACUAAGUAGUUAUCCCUGGCAGACCCCACAAAGCCUGAAGUUCAGAUGCAAAGGGCUGUUUUGGUAACUUAGAGGAGAUAGAAUAAUACAAUGAUGGUGUUUCUAUUCAUUUGGCAUAAACUCUUUUUCCUGUCCUAAGCAGUUUCACAAAACACCUUAAAAUUCUAUCUUUUCCUGUGUGUUUCUAUUAGAGAUUUCAAGGAAAAAUCCUAACACUUUUCUCCUGAAAGUGAUGAAAAUAAAAGCACUGAAGUCACAAUGUUUUAACACAUUGUCAUGCAGUGUUUCAGAGUUUAUCUUUGGGGUAUAAAAUAGUAAGUGGGCUAGUAUAAAAAAUAUUAUGCACUAAUUAGUUACAUGUAAGAACCAAAUUAAUCCCAUUUUUUUGGAGAGAAUUUAAUUUGAAGAAAAUCAGCUUCCUGACUUGGUUAAAACAAAGUCUACAAUGUAAUGAGACAAAAGUGAAGUAGUUUAAGUAAUAAAUGUUUAAUCAAAGAAUUUUACAUAUUAACAGCAUUCAUUUGGCCAAACAUCUACACGUUUGUAGAAUCCUACUGUAUAUAAAGUGGGAAUGUAUCAAGUAUAGACUAUGAAAGUGCAAAUAACAAGUCAAGGUUAGAGUAAUUUUUUUUUUACAUUAUAAAAUUAACUUGUUUACAAAAUAGGCUUUGCCAAACUUUAUUUCUGAACUGUAAAGUCAAUGACUGUGUUUUUAAAAUAUGUACCAAGUAAAUACAAAUUGAAUAAUGAUCAUUUUUCAUGCUCAGGAGAUAGCACAGAAACAAAGGGUACUGCACAAGGCGCAAGGAACCAGAACCCAUCACAUACACUGUCUUCACACAGAGCACUCUUUCUCACCUUAUUGCAGCUUCGCAAGACGCCUCAAUGUGAUACAAAGACUCUUUCUAUUGAAAAGUUACAACUCGGUCUAAAAACUGAUUGGUGUUGAUAUUUUUAAUCCAAAAUAAAUUUGUAAAAAAAUCCUUUAAUGGACUGUUUCAGUUGAAUAUACAGUAAUACACUGUAGACAAAGUCAAUAUUUUCCCCAACUAAUUUACUGGGGAUUGAUAUCACUGUUUCUGAAGACCGGGGAAAUAAAAGCUAAUGUGGACCUUUGAUAUCCAUGGCCUAGGAGCGAUUCACACACAGUUUAUUCUAAGGGAACCGGGGGAAUAUUAAGUACUCUAAUAGAGUGUCCUAGCCAUAUGAAUUCCAAGUACAAGAGUUUCAGAAACAGGUUUUGGAGGAAAAAAAAAAUAAAAA